GAUGAACGCUGGCGGCGUGCUUAACACAUGCAAGUCGAACGGAAAGGCCCAAGCUUGCUUGGGUGCUCGAGUGGCGAACGGGUGAGUAACACGUGGGUGAUCUGCCCUGCACUUUGGGAUAAGCCUGGGAAACUGGGUCUAGUACCGGAUAGGACCAUCGUUUAGUGUCGGUGGUGGAAAGUUUUUCGGUGUGGGAUGAGCUCGGCGCCUAUCAGCUUGUUGGUGGGGUAAUGGCCUACCAAGGCGUCGGCGGGUAGCCGGCCUGGGAGGGUGUACGGCCCAAAUUGGGAUGGGGUAAGGGCCAGACCCCCAAGGGGGGGCGGAGUGGGGAAUAAUUGCAAAUGGGGGGGAGGCCGAUGGCACGAAGGCGGGGUGGGGAUGACGGCCUUCGGGUUGUAAACUCCUUUCGCCAAGGACGAAGCGUUUUGUGACGGUACUUGGAGAAGAAGCACCGGCUAACUACGUG
rnacentral:rRNA from 1 species